UUUUCCCUUAGAUAUUUCUGUCUCUGAAACUUUUUCACAAUCAUUUCUAUGUUUUAUACUCGAAUAAUAUGAUGAUUAAUUUACUCAUUUCUCAAUUUACCGUAGUCCAUACUUUCUUUUCAAAAUUCUUCUACAUUAGACUACUUUUCUGAAACCACUUUUUUUGUAAAUCACUCGUUUAAAAUACCUUAAUUUCUGACAAUUGGAUCCAAGUUGCAUAAUGCGGACUUUCUAUCUAAAUAUAUGUGUUUAACCACUGCGUUCACUGUUUAAGUUUAAUUUAAAGACUAAAUCAGUAUGUGCCAGGACAUGCUAAAGUAAGUGUUGAUUAAUUAAGGGGUUUACUUGAGAAUUACCAAUUUGUUUUAUUCAUCACCAUAUUUGUUACUUGUUUGUAUGUCGCAAUUUGAAUUUUAUCCUCUAAACUCUAUAUGCCUAUAUCCCUUUUCCUUCCCUUUUAGGAUUAGAACUCCUGAUAUCCCGGGACUGAAAGGUAGGGACGGGUACUAGCAUGCAAUAAGUAAAUGAGACUAAUCGCGUUUACCUUAACGGGUGGGAACGGUAGAAUAUGGAUAUGAUGACCGAUGCGCUAAUAUCACGUACGAACCCUCUUUUAAGGAUUGAUUGCUGCAUAUUAAAUUGAUGUGAUCCAUGUUUUGCAUUAACCUAGGAACCCUUUCCCUUUUUUCUUGCAAAUAUUUUCUUUAAAUUAUGUUUUUCUCCAAAUAAUCCUUUUCCGCGAUUUCUAUUCCUUUCUGAUCUUUAAGCUUUCAAACUUAUUUGUGAUUCUAUGUACAAACUUUAUUUGCUUCUUCUAUUUUCUUAAUGUCACAAUUAUACCAUGGCUGAGAACCACACUGGUGGAUCUUGAGGGGUGCCUAACACCUUCCCCUCAAGAUAAUCUCUAAGCCCUUACCAGAACUCUGGUUUUCCUUCUUCUCAAAAUUCUUCAUCUCUUUAAAAGUGUCGUAAUGCACUAUAAUCAUUAGGUGGCAACUCUCUAAAACUCCAAAACCCAAUUCUGAUGAGAGAAUAAAGAGUUUUCUUCACAUAACGUUGUGUACCCGAUUUUCGGACUUCCCGGUCCACAAUAUGGAAAAGCGGGGCGUCGACAACAUGGAGACUCUACUGUGAUUUCUUUAGGCUUUCUACCAUAACAUGCUUUUUUUCAUCUUAUUGAUUCAUUAAUUGCCUUUAUUUUCUGCCUUUAAUUAUAUCAUCACGACACUAACUUGGCUCUGUCUUUUCUUUCCUUCAAUUGUUUUCCUUUACUGCUUCAUUAUUUCAAUACCAUUGUAGUUUUUUGAGCAUUUAUUGCAAUCAUUUAUCUUAUGUACGUGAAAAUACAUGAAAAUUAUGUUUCAUUCUUGUAAUUGCAUCUUCAACAUUAUACUUCAGUCGUGCCAAAACAAAUACUAUAGCAAUGCUUAUAAUGAGUGGUUGCUCUCUUCUAAUAUUAUCACCCCCAUAAAGGCAUAUUUACGGCAAAACCAGUCGAUCAACAGUGUAGUCGACGGUUCCUCGCCUAUACCUCUUGAGUUGUCCACUUAAUGCAUCAUUAUCAAACCUAGCGGGUCAGUUAUGGUGUCCGCAUAAUGACUUAUUAAGAUAGCCUAGUCCAAUGUCCAUCGGGUUUCCCUUGAAACCGAAACGGACACCUUCAUUUUUUGUGCAUUUAUUUGGAGAACUAAAUGCCUUUAUGCUAAUUGUUGAUCGAAAUAGUCGAGUCUGGUCUAAACUUUUAUUUUGCAGAGAAUGAGGCAUGAAAUCCCUAGAUUCGGUAUGGUAACUAUCAUUCACCCAAGGCUGCUAAGCUGGUGGGAGGACCUUUAUGCCAGCGAUCAAACCCUUGUCCGCAAAUACUCAGGAAAUCUACCUUCACUUCUAGAGGUCGGGCCUGACAACAAAAUAGAGGCUGCAACUUUGUUCUGGGAUUGUGAUCGUUCUAUGUUUCGCUUUGGGGAUUUUGGAAUGACCCAUUUACUGGAAGAAAUAGGAGGUCUAGCCGAUAUUCCUUGGGAGACUCCGGGUCUACAUUGUAAGGCCUCGUGAAAAAGAGUGGUCAGAUGUUAGCAGCUCAUAGAGUCGAGUCUACCCGCACGGAUCGGAUUCUUUUUA
rnacentral:lncRNA from 1 species